GGUAUAGCCCAGUGGUAGAGUGCAUGCCUGGCAUACAUGAGGUCCUAGGCUCAAUUCCCAGUACC
rnacentral:tRNA from 1 species